rnacentral:rRNA from 1 species
AGUGAACGCUGGCGGUAGACCUAACACAUGCAAGUCGAACGGCAGCACGGUAAGAGCUUGCUCUUACGGGUGGCGAGUGGCGGACGGGUGAGGAAUACAUCGGAAUCUACUUUUUCGUGGGGGAUAACGUAGGGAAACUUACGCUAAUACCGCAUACGACCUACGGGUGAAAGCAGGGGAUCCUCGGACCUUGCGCGAUUGAAUGAGCCGAUGUCGGAUUAGCUAGUUGGCGGGGUAAAGGCCCACCAAGGCGACGAUCCGUAGCUGGUCUGAGAGGAUGAUCAGCCACACUGGAACUGAGACACGGUCCAGACUCCUACGGGAGGCAGCAGUGGGGAAUAUUGGACAAUGGGCGCAAGCCUGAUCCAGCCAUACCGCGUGGGUGAAGAAGGCCUUCGGGUUGUAAAGCCCUUUUGUUGGGAAAGAAAAGCAGCAGGUUAAUACCCCGCUGUUCUGACGGUACCCAAAGAAUAAGCACCGGCUAACUUCGUG